rnacentral:rRNA from 1 species
GUGAGGAAUAUUGGUCAAUGGGCGAGAGCCUGAACCAGCCAAGUCGCGUGAAGGAAGACGGCCCUACGGGUUGUAAACUUCUUUUGCAAUGGAAUAAAAAGAGUUACGUGUAAUUCAUUGUAUGUACAUUGCGAAUAAGGAUCGGCUAACUCCGUGCCAGCAGCCGCGGUAAUACGGAGGAUCCGAGCGUUAUCCGGAUUUAUUGGGUUUAAAGGGUGCGUAGGCGGAUUGGAAAGUCAGCGGUGAAAGUUUGCAGCUUAACUGUAAAAUUGCCAGUGAAACUGUCAGUCUUGAGUGCAAAUGAGGUAGGCGGAAUGUGUUGUGUAGCGGUGAAAUGCAUAGAUAUAACACAGAACACCAAUUGCGAAGGCAGCUUACUGGGAUGCAACUGACGCUGAGGCACGAAAGCGUGGGGAUCAAACAGGAUUAGAUACCCUUGUAGUCC